rnacentral:lncRNA from 1 species
CUCUAAAAAUAGAAAAAAAACCUUCUAAGAGCAAUUUCUUAAAAAGCCUGGACAUUUCAAAAUAAACAAAACAUCACUGAAUGUUGUCCUUAAAUGACCUCACUGUAUUUUAAUCUCUUCCAUUUCCUUUAACAGUCUUGUCCCCUAACAUAACUCAGUAAAGCAAGACAUUUCUUGCCAUAAAAUAGUUUUGAUUUAAUUAAACACUCAUAUUCAUACAACACAUUCUAAAGACUUGAGGCAGCAGCUUACAUUCAUAUGAAUACUCAUUACUUUCACAGUGAGCGUCGAGGAGUCUGAGAGAACCUGUUGGCUGCCAGUAAGGACUGGGCUGCAGUGCUCAGCCCUUCUGAGUGGCUGGUAGAGAAGAAAAGUGUUGUGUAAGCCAACUGGCUGUUCUCAGUGACAGUGAUACCAACCACCUCUUCUGCAGAGCAAGCAGACACUGUGAGAAGAUCAUCUCCAAGUCACCAAUGAGAACACCUUGGCAAGAACCAGCAUGCUUUUUGUUCUUCACCUGCUGUGGUGCAGAUUUGUACUACUUAACGUAACCAGCAAGAGUUYGUUGAGCGGCUGAAGUCUGAAGCAAACACAGUCAUAGGUAGUUACCUUAGCUUCCCACCAUCCAUUCAGGUUGAUAGAAUUUAGAAAGUGCCAAGGAAAAACUAAGCUUUAUCUACGUUGGCAAAUAUUUUGCUGGAUAUUUUCU